GACGAACGCUGGCGGCGUGCCUAAUACAUGCAAGUAGAACGCUGAAGGAGGAGCUUGCUUCUCUGGAUGAGUUGCGAACGGGUGAGUAACGCGUAGGUAACCUGCCUGGUAGCGGGGGAUGACUAUUGGAAACGAUAGCUAAUACCGCAUAAUAGCAGUUGUUGCAUGACAACUGUUUGAAAGGUGCAAAUGCAUCACUACCAGAUGGACCUGCGUUGUAUUAGCUAGUUGGUGGGGUAAAGGCUCACCAAGGCGACGAUACAUAGCCGACCUGAGAGGGUGAUCGGCCACACUGGGACUGAGACACGGCCCAGACUCCUACGGGAGGCAGCAGUAGGGAAUCUUCGGCAAUGGACGGAAGUCUGACCGAGCAACGCCGCGUGAGUGAAGAAGGUUUUCGGAUCGUAAAGCUCUGUUGUAAGAGAAGAACGAGUGUGAGAGUGGAAAGUUCACACUGUGACGGUAUCUUACCAGAAAGGGACGGCUAACUACGUG
rnacentral:rRNA from 1 species